CACCAUCACAUGGUCACAAUUUAGAGACACAAUUAAGCGGAAAUAUCAAAAUUUUACCGCUCACCCAAAAUUUAAGCGUGAAUAUCAAUUAAGUGAUCAGAUCUAGGGUUUUGAUUCUAAAGUCUGCUCCCCAAAAUCACUAGAACCAUAAACUUUGCUCCACCAUCAUUGAUGGAAUCAUCCUUCGCUCAACCAUCACCGAUGGAAUCAUCCUCCGCUCCACCUCACUAUCAACGAUCUCCCCUGAAUCACAUGGUAACGAUUAGACUUCAACAACAAGCAAAUCAUUUUGUUUCUUAACUGCGACAAAUAUUGUAAAAUUCAAAUUCAGGUUUGUCUUUUAUCUUAUUAUUUUGUUGCACAUAAUUGUUGUUUCAUUUAUAAAGUGGUCGAUUGUGUUAGGGUUUCUCUUUGUUGAAAACCAUUGUAUUGGGAGUGGUGGAUUAGGCACUAUAAUUCAAUAAUUUGUUGGGUUAUGUGGGUGUGGGUGCAUAGUGUUAUCUGCAAGCUUUAAACAGAAGCAUUGAAGGUUGUUUAGGUGUUUAUGUUAGUAGUCAGGAGAGUUGGGCCAUGUAUGCUUGUAUAUCCAAUCAUAGUUUAAUGUACAACUUUCAUAGGCAAUAAGGAUUGUUUGUAUAGCUACAUUUGAUUCAAUAGUUGCUUAUGAAACCAAAAACUUUAGCUGUUGCUAGCCAACCUUACCCAACACAUUAAUUUGUAUGUAGUUUUUUGUUCUUUGAGUUGGCGUUUCAGUUGAUUUAUUGGAUUUGUACUCACUAUUCACGAGCAUUACAUGGUGCACACCAUGUGUUUGUAAAUAUUCCUCUUAACAAUUUGUUUGUCCCUCUUCUAAAAAUUGUUGUUUGUCUGACCGGGAGUUUCACUUCUGCUACCUGCUCAUAUUUGUUUGUAAUAUCAAGUGGGAUUGCUAUAUACGUUUUAGAUUUUUAAAGCUGAAAAGAUUGGUUUACGAGGGAGAAAACAAAUUUACCAAGUGGGAUUUUAUAAUCUUUUGGUGGUAUUCAGAUACAGCUAUUCAACGGAAGUAUUUGGACAAACUAAUUUGUCACUGGAACCCAAAUGCUGAACUAUGAAACCCUGUUAUCACCUUAAAGCCAAUUAUUUAAACUAGCUUCCUAUUUAAACAGAUAGCGGAUGUCUUUUACAGUACUAGUAAGUACUAACUGUAAAAAAAAAUGAUUAAUAUUACCAUGUUUUGUUAGUAAACAGUCUAUAUAUAUUGAGAACCACAUAAGAACAUAUACAUGGUAAUCCAACAUUCUAGUCAAGUUAUAUAAUAAAUAGUACAAGGGUUUGAAUGUGGCGGAUUUGAGAUCGGCAAAUCCCCAAAUCAAAAGAUUUUCAGUAACGUAAAAUAAGAGUUUGUUUCAGUUUCUUCUUAAACAUUUGAUAGAUGACGACAAUAAAGGGAUGAGCAUUUGGUACCGGGUACCGGUACCGAACCGGUACCACUCUCCCCGUUUUUGGUACCGGUACCAAACCGGUGUAUUCGGUACCGGUACCGAUACCCACUUUUCCCAUUUUUUGGUACUGGUACUUUCGGUACCGAACGGAUACCGUGCUCAUCCCUAAACACGGUAUCUUGAUAUAACAACUAUGCACCCAUAGUUUAAGCCCAAAAGAUUUGUAUGUAGGUCGCUAGGAGAGCUAUCAAGAACGCUAGAAAAGCGUCACGAAUCAUCACUUAGCUACUACGAUUGAAAAGUUGAACCUAGUUAUCAAGGAGCUCGUUAAGGAAAAAAUUGAAGAAAAAGAAAGGUUCAAUGGAAUUAUUGCGGGGUUGUUGGCGAAAAAGAAAAAGAUAAGGUGGAUAAAGAUGCUAUGCUUGAUAGGAUGUCACAAAUUAAAGUUAUGUUAAUAGCUACAGUUCGAAGAUAGGCUAUAAACACUUGGUUGUGAAUGUUUAGAUAUUUAUCUUAACAGGAUAAUUUUAGUUAUUUUAUGUU